rnacentral:rRNA from 1 species
GUCAGACGAACGCUGGCGGCGUGCCUAAUACAUGCAAGUCGAGCGGACAGAUGGGAGCUUGCUCCCUGAUGUUAGCGGCGGACGGGUGAGUAACACGUGGGUAACCUGCCUGUAAGACUGGGAUAACUCCGGGAAACCGGGGCUAAUACCGGAUGGUUGUUUGAACCGCAUGGUUCAAACAUAAAAGGUGGCUUCGGCUACCACUUACAGAUGGACCCGCGGCGCAUUAGCUAGUUGGUGAGGUAAUGGCUCACCAAGGCAACGAUGCGUAGCCGACCUGAGAGGGUGAUCGGCCACACUGGGACUGAGACACGGCCCAGACUCCUACGGGAGGCAGCAGUAGGGAAUCUUCCGCAAUGGACGAAAGUCUGACGGAGCAACGCCGCGUGAGUGAUGAAGGUUUUCGGAUCGUAAAGCUCUGUUGUUAGGGAAGAACAAGUACCGUUCGAAUAGGGCGGUACCUUGACGGUACCUAACCAGAAAGCCACGGCUAACUACGUGCCAGCAGCCGCGGUAAUACGUAGGUGGCAAGCGUUGUCCGGAAUUAUUGGGCGUAAAGGGCUCGCAGGCGGUUUCUUAAGUCUGAUGUGAAAGCCCCCGGCUCAACCGGGGAGGGUCAUUGGAAACUGGGGAACUUGAGUGCAGAAGAGGAGAGUGGAAUUCCACGUGUAGCGGUGAAAUGCGUAGAGAUGUGGAGGAACACCAGUGGCGAAGGCGACUCUCUGGUCUGUAACUGACGCUGAGGAGCGAAAGCGUGGGGAGCGAACAGGAUUAGAUACCCUGGUAGUCCACGCCGUAAACGAUGAGUGCUAAGUGUUAGGGGGUUUCCGCCCCUUAGUGCUGCAGCU